rnacentral:lncRNA from 1 species
ACUUCACUAUCAAAAACGGUUUCCGACACCUCCAUGAGCCUCGUGUCUGUGCCAACCGACUCCAGCUCCGGGCUCCCUGCCUCUCCACCCGGCACUCCCACCCUCUCCACAGCCUGAGCCCCACCCAGUCCUGGGCCACUGAGCCACCCUCCUGCCAUGCAGGGCAGACACAACCCCACACGGUGCUCGUCAGGGGAAGGCAGGAGGGCGGCCGGAGGGACCAGCCACAGUUCCGAGAAGGGGCUGACCGUGGCCUGUGAUGGACGGGGCACCCAGUGGGCCAGAAUCAGACGGAGAACAGCUAUAAGCUGCCACGCCGACUGCUGUGGGAGCUCCUGGGCCUGGAGGAGCCUCCCUGGGACACGGUGCCUGCAGGGCCCUCUGUCCUUGGACCUCCUCCUUCAAGGAUCCACUUCGCACAUGUGCCCUUCUGCAAACUUCCGUGACACCGAUGCAAAUUUGCUCUUUCUGUAUUUCAUGUAAAAAAUUUCCACUCACAAGCAGGAGACUCCACGAGGCCUUGGGGUCACAGGAAGGCUCGGAGUGCCAGAGUACAGAGUCCAAUUUGAGCAUUGUUCAGGUUCAACUGACCACAGGGAGCUGCCUGCAUUUAAAGUGAGCAACGUGACGGGACUGGACGCUGCACGCCAGCAAGUCAUCGCCACAGCGAAGGUCACGGCACACCCAGCCCCAGGAGCUUCCCCAAAAUGCCUGCAACCCUCCCUCCUGCACCCACGACCCUCCCCCAACUUCUCCUGCAGCCCCAGCCCCCACCCCCAGGAAGCAACUUACCUGCCUUCUGACUUGUACAUUGGUUUGUAUUUCCCAGGCUUUUGUAAAAAUGAAACCAUCCCUGUGCACUCCCUUGAUCCAGCCUCUUUCCCUCAGCGUAAUCCUUCUGAGUGAGCCCCGUCACCCCUCGGCGUAAUCCUUCUGAGUGAGCCCCGUCACCCCUCAGCGUAAUCCUUCUGAGCCCCGUCUACGCUGUCCCACGCACCAACAGCUCGCCCCUCAUUGCCGGGCAGGACCCCACCACGUGGCCGCACCCCAAUGUGCUCAUCGCCCACUGGGUGUCCAGGUGUCCGUCCUGUGGGUGAUGGAUCUUUCUGUGGUUUCCCGGUUUAGGUCAUUGCAGAUAACGCUGCUGUAAACAUGUGUAUGAGUUUCUGCGGGACGCGUGUCUCCUUAUCUCUUUGGUAGAUGGAGUGGAAUGACUGCGGCAUACAACAGGCCUGCUUUAACUUCUUAAGAAACUGCCAAACUGUCUUCCAAAGUGGCUCCAGCAUUCACCAUUCCCACCAGCCGAGUAUGAGGGUUCCGGUUCCACACCCUCCCAACACGCGCUCUGGUCGACUGUGUGAGUUUCACCCAUUCUAACAGGUGGUGGCUGUCUUCCUGCUGAGGGCUCUGCAGAUCUCGGAGUGGCCGUUCCUUGCAGCUCUCUCCUUCCAGCUGGAAGAACGAAUCUGGUCCCUGUUACUUCAUCUGAGAUGGAAGCAAAAGUCCAAUCGAUUUAUUUUUAAUUUUAUUUGAUACCGAAGUGCAGAAAACUGCACGUACCGCAAGGGUAGCGCUCGGGGAAGCUUCACAACCGGGGCACGUCUGCACAGCCAGCACUCAGUCACAGAAUGUCAUCACCCCCGAAUCCCAGCCGAGGUCAGGGCCUUCCGCGCGCUCCCUCGUGCUUUUCACUGUCUGAGUGAUUAACGGAGAG